GACGAACGCUGGCGGCGUGCUUAACACAUGCAAGUCGAGCGGAAAGGCUCCUUCGGGGGUACUCGAGCGGCGAACGGGUGAGUAACACGUGAGUAAUCUGCCCUUGGCUUCGGGAUAGCCACCGGAAACGGUGAUUAAUACCGGAUACGACACAUCACUGCAUGGUGCGUGUGUGGAAAGUUUUUUCGGCCAGGGAUGUGCUCGCGGCCUAUCAGCUUGUUGGUGGGGUAAUGGCCUACCAAGGCUUCGACGGGUAGCCGGCCUGAGAGGGUGACCGGCCACACUGGGACUGAGACACGGCCCAGACUCCUACGGGAGGCAGCAGUGGGGAAUAUUGGACAAUGGGCGGAAGCCUGAUCCAGCAACGCCGCGUGAGGGAUGACGGCCUUCGGGUUGUAAACCUCUUUCAGCACAGACGAAGCGCAAGUGACGGUAUGUGCAGAAGAAGGACCGGCCAACUACGUGCCAGCAGCCGCGGUAAUACGUAGGGUCCGAGCGUUGUCCGGAAUUAUUGGGCGUAAAGGGCUCGUAGGCGGUUUGUCGCGUCGGGAGUGAAAACACCGGGCUUAACUCGGUGCUUGCUUCCGAUACGGGCAGACUAGAGGCAUUCAGGGGAGAACGGAAUUCCUGGUGUAGCGGUGAAAUGCGCAGAUAUCAGGAGGAACACCGGUGGCGAAGGCGGUUCUCUGGGAAUGUCCUGACGCUGAGGAGCGAAAGUGUGGGGAGCGAACAGG
rnacentral:rRNA from 1 species